AGCUUUGAUCCGGAGAUUUCCGAAUGGGGAAACCCACCACUCGUAAUGGAGUGGUAUCCAUAUCUGAAUACAUAGGAUAUGAGAAGGCAGACCCGGGGAACUGAAACAUCGAAGUACCCGGAGGAAGAGAAAGCAAAUGCGAUUCCCUGAGUAGCGGCGAGCGAAACGGGACCAGCCCAAACCAAGAGGCUUGCCUCUUGGGGUUGUAGGACACUCUGUACGGAGUUACAAAGGAACGAGGUAGAUGAAGAGGUCUGGAAAGGCCCGCCAUAGGAGGUAACAGCCCUGUAGUCAAAACUUCGUUCUCUCC
rnacentral:rRNA from 1 species